GAUGAACGCUGACAGAAUGCUUAACACAUGCAAGUCUUUGGCGAAUCUGUGCUUGCACAGGCUAGCCAAGGCGGACGGGUGAGUAACGCGUAAAGAACUUGCCCUGCAGACAGAGAUAACAGACGGAAACGACUGAUAACACCUGAUACAGUUGCCGGCACGCAUGUGCCUGGCAAUGAAAAGAGAUGCUGCAGGAGAGCUUUGCGCCCUAUUAGCUUGUUGGUGAGGUGACGGCUCACCAAGGCGAUGAUAGGUAGCCGGCCUGAGAGGGUGAACGGCCACAAGGGGACUGAGAUACGGCCCUUACUCCUACGGGAGGCAGCAGUGGGGAAUAUUGGACAAUGGGGGCAACCCUGAUCCAGCAAUUCUGUGUGCACGAAGAAGGUUUUCGGAUUGUAAAGUGCUUUCAGCAGGGAAGAAGAAAGUGACGGUACCUGCAGAAGAAGCGACGGCUAAAUACGUG
rnacentral:rRNA from 1 species